GGUGAUGUAGCUCAGCUGGUAGAGCAUCGGACUGAAAAUCCGUGAGUCGGUGGUUCGAGUCCACUCAUCACCAC
rnacentral:tRNA from 1 species